UUAGUUCAGAUGCUCCUCGUCACCAGAGUUCUAACACUUUUCCGCUGUAUUUAAUCCAACCUGUUUGUAUAUAAACUUACCUAUUUUAGUUUUUUUGUGAAGUGUUGCCAACAUCUCAACAGUUAUUUAAGUAUUUCUCAGUCUGUGAGCUUUUGACUGCCAUUUCUCGUAUUCUGGAUUCUCUGUUUGAACCUUGUUUGCUGCUUGCUGGUUGGAUUUACUUUCUUUUUUUGGCUCCUGCCUGUGAGAUUUCUCUCCUGAUUGGACCAUGGCUUUACAGUUGAUACUCGUGGUUUUGACCAUGCCAGUGUUUAGAGCCGUGCCAGAAGUGGAGCCCAAGAUCACUCUGCUGGCUAGGGAGGAUGAUAACACAGUGAAGCUACUUUGUUUGCUGGAAGAUUUUUAUCCUGAAACAUAUACUAACAUAAUGUGGUUAAAGAAUAAAACUCCAUUCAGUGGGAGUCCAGUUACUAGGACCAUAAUUAAUAACAGCAAAAGACGAUACUAUCAAAUAAGUGAAAUACACUUUGACGCACAGCAGUUAAAUAAAAGCACAGAGUACACCUGUCAGGCAAGGCACAAUCCUGAAAUCAUCAAAUCAACAUGGAGCAAUUACAAAGCUAAGUUCUCUCUAAAGAUCAAUCCACCAUCUGAGAAGGAUCUUUUUGUACAUAAUAGAGCAGUAAUCACCUGUGUCAUAACUGGUGAUGAUAAAAAUGAAGUGGAAGCAGCAAAGGUGUCGUGGACAGUUGGAGGACAAUCACGUGCAAGUAUUGCAACAGAUAAUGUUAAAGGGACGACAGCACCAUUUACUAAAACCAGUACAUUAUCCCUCAGUGAAUCUGAAUGGUUUUCAGAGAGAGAAGUAAAGUGCUCUACUGAAAGAGAUAAAACACCAUUCUCAGAGACAAUUAAAGUGAAGAAAGGAGGUAAACCUUCUAUUCUCUUCUACAAACCUGAGAAGCAUGUCUCUGACACUGAGAAAGUCUCUCUGUUGUGUGAGGUCAGCAGCUCUGAUCUGGGGGAUGUGUACAUCAUGUGGAAAAUGAACAACGGCCAGUACAGAGAAAGCAGCAGCACAGUUCACACUAAUGCUAAUACAGUCCUCAGCUACUUAACUGUGACUGGAAACGAAUACAACAGAGCACAAUUCACUUGUGUAGUCAAAGACCCCAGCAAGACGGCUGGAGCUCUACCAGAACAGAAGACAACAUCUAUGAAUAAGUUCUCUCUAAAGAUCAACCCACCUUCUGAGAAUGAUCUUUUUGUACAUAAUAAAACAGUAAUCACCUGUGUCAUAACUGGUAAUAAUAAAAAUGAAGUGGAAGCAGCAAACGUGUCGUGGACAUUUGGAGGACAACCAGCAUCAGCAGGAAGGACCGCAACAGAUAACGUUAAAGAGACGACAGCACCAUUUACUAAAAACAGUAAUUUGAUCCUCAGUCAAUCUGAAUGGUUUUCUGGGAAAGAAGUAAAGUGCUCUACUGAAAGAGAUAAAACACCAUUCUCAGAGACAAUUAAAGUGAAGAAAGGAAGUGAACGCCCCUCUGUUCUCUUCUACAGACCUGAGAAUGAUGUCAGAGACACUGAUAAAGUCUCUCUGUUGUGUGAGGUCAGCAGCUCUGAUCUGGGGGAUGUGUACAUCAUGUGGCAAAAGAAUAAUGAUCCAUACAUGAAAAGCAGCAGCACAGUUCACAUCAAUGAUAAUACUGUCCUCAGCUACUUAACCAUGUCUGGAAAAGAAUACAACAAUAAAAACAAUAUUUUCAUUUGUGCAGUCAAAGACGCCAACAAGGAGAAUGACACUGCGCCAAAGACAGCUGUAACAUCCAAAAGUAAACUCCCUCCCAGUCCUCCGUGUCCUGAAGAUUGAGAGUCCUCUCAGAUCUGUGUGAUCAGGAAGUAUCUCUGGUAGCUGUAUCUGGCUGAUUGAGAUAUUUCCUGUAGUUCACCUGAAUGAUCUGAGAAGCCUCUGAUGCAUUCUGUGUAUCUUUAUCUUUGUGUUUGACUAUUAACAUUAAAUUGCUCUACAGGUUUUUAAUGAGUCUUAA